AUGCAGGCUGAGGGAUGCCUUUUCCCAGUGGGAUGUUGUGGAAGGAGGCACAGAGAGGUGGGAGAUGCACAAUUCCUGCUCCCAGCACGAGGGGCACUGGGAAAUCCAAAAUCUUGGGCUUGUGGCCGAUGCCUCAUGGCCCAUCAUCACCCUGGUGGUGUUCCCAGUGGAUGUGGCAUCCUUGGGAAGCAGGAAAAUCCCAGAAUUGGGGUGCAGUGCCUUGCAGUGAGAUGUAAAUGUUGCUUUUGUGUGUUCCAGAAGCGAGUGUGCAGACUGCUGGACACCAUCCCACGGGAGGCUGCUGCCCAGCUCAGGGACUGUGCCAUGGACCUGGAUUCCAGGCAGAAAUUCCUCCCUGGCUCUGCUCCCUGGGCUGCAAAGACAAAGCAGAAUUCCACAGUUUUGGAAAAUCAUGGGAACAGAGGCAUUUCCCAGCCCUGCCCGAGAUGUGUUGCUGGAGAAUCUGGCCACUUCAGUCACAUCCUGGGCUUCUAGAAACGGAGCUGGGGCAGAGGAGCAGCCCUGAAUUCCUGCUGGGAGCCUGAGGAUGCAGCUGGAUCCUGGAUCCUGCCCUGGGGACACUCAGGCCUCCUUUAGCUGAUGUUUUACACCUGUUCAAAACUCUGCUGCUCCUCAGGGAGCUCAGAAUUCAUUUAAAAAUGACAAGAAAAGGCUGAUUUCAUGUUUAGAUAGCUCAGAAUUGUCUAAAAAGGACAAAAAAAGGCUGAUUUCAUGUUUAGAUAGCUCAGAAGGACAAGAAAAGGCUGAUUUCAUGUUUAGAUAGCUCAGAAUUGUCUAAAAAGGACAAAAAAAGGCUGAUUUCAUGUUUAGAUAGCUCAGAAUUGUCUAAAAAGGACAAAAAAAGGCUGAUUUCGUGUUUAGAUAGCUCAGAAUUUUCUAAAAAGGACAAGAAAAGGCUGAUUUUGUGUUUAGGUAGCUCAAAAUUCAUUUAAAAAUGACAAGAAAAGGCUGAUUUCAUGUUUAGGUAGCCCAGAAUUGUCUAAAAAGGACAAAAAAAGGCUGAUUUUGUGUUUAGAUAGCUCAGAAUUUAUCUAAAAAGGACAAAAAAAGGCUGAUUUCAUGUUUAGGUAGCUCAGAAUUCAUUUAAAAAGGACAAGAAAAGGCUGAUUUCAUGUUUAGAUAGCUCAGAAUUGUCUAAAAAGGACAAAAAAAGGCUGAUUUCAUGUUUAGAUAGCUCAGAAUUGUCUAAAAAGGACAAAAAAAGGCUGAUUUCAUGUUUAGAUAGCUCAGAAUUGUCUAAAAAAGAACAAAAAAAGGCUGAUUUCAUGUUUUGGACUGGUUAAGUUGAGCUGGCCUUGGGCCCAGGCUUCACCUGGGGCUGGGCCAGGGGCUGUUUUGAUUCCAAAGGUUUUCCCAACAGUCCUGGAUCCCUUGGAAAAUGCUCCUUUGGAAAACCCUCCUUGUGCAGGGCCACAGGCAGGAAUGGGAGGACACAAAUUUUAGUUUUUAAGUGGCUUUGCAGCUGUGAAAUCCAGGAAAAAUCCCAUUGAAGCUUACAUUUAAAUUCCCCCCCCCAAAAAAAAUCUGUUUAAAAAGGCUUGACCUCAUCAUCCAGCAGGUUUUUUCUGGCACUAAUUUAAUGACAGGUUAAUUAACCUCUGAAAGGUGAAUUUUGGGGGUUAUCAGGCUGCAGAAUCCUCAGGCAAAGGUUUUUUUGCAGUCCUUGAAUCCUUCCCACGUUGUGUGUGCAGCUGGAGCUGGCACUGAAUUGUGUUCUUAAGGAGAUAUUCUCAUUAAAUAAAGGAAUAUCACAUAAAUACUGAAUUUAACUA
ensembl:lncRNA